GGGGACGUAGGCUAAUUGGCAAACUGGGGCUCUCCAAAAGCCUCGUUCCAGGUUCAAGUCCUGGCGUCCCCG
rnacentral:tRNA from 1 species